UACGUAGGGUGCGAGCGUUGUCCGGAAUUAUUGGGCGUAAAGGGCUCGUAGGCGGUUUGUCGCGUCGGGAGUGAAAACACCGGGCUUAACUCGGUGCUUGCUUUCGAUACGGGCAGACUAGAGGUAUGCAGGGGGAGAACGGAAUUCCAUGGUGUAGCGGUGAAAUGCGUAGAUAUCUGGAGGAACACCGGUGGCGAAGGCGGCAUCCUGGACCGGCAUUGACGCUGAGGAGCGAAAGCCAGGGGAGCAAAGCGGG
rnacentral:rRNA from 1 species